GCAUAUCACUAAGCGGAGGAAAAGAAACUAACAAGGAUUCCCUUAGUAACGGCGAGUGAACAGGGAAAAGCCCAGCACCGAAGCCUGUGACUGUUUGGUCACUAGGCAAUGUGGUGUUCAGGUCGUCCUUUGGAGAUGUUACCUCACUUCAAGUCCAGCAAUGAGUAUGGUAAUUCUGACUUGGCCCAGAGAGGGUGAAAGGCCCGUGGGGGUGAGGUUCAGCUGUGAUAACAUCUCCCUUGGUAGACCUUGGAGUCGGGUUGUUUGUGAUUGCAGCCCAAAGCGGGUGGUAAACUCCAUCCAAGGCUAAAUACUUACACGAGUCCGAUAGCGAACAAGUACCGUGAGGGAAAGUUGAAAAGUACUUUGAAGAGAGAGUAAACAGUGCGUGAAACCGCUCAGAGGUAAACGGGUGGAGUUGAACUGCAAACUCUGAGAAUUCAGCUGGUGAGCGUGGUUUGGGCUUGGUCAAAGUGAUUGGCCUGGUGGGUCUGCUCAUCUGCAGGUCCCUGCCUUCGGGUGGGGAUGUGCGAGGCACUUGUCAAGUGUUGCGCGCCCGCAAGGUAAUCCGGUACCG
rnacentral:rRNA from 1 species